CAGUCGAGCGAUGAAGUUCCUUCGGGAAUGGAUUANCGGCGGACGNGUGAGUAACACGUGGGUAACCUGCCUCAUAGAGGGGAAUAGCCUUCCGAAAGGAAGAUUAAUACCGCAUAAGAUUGUAGUGCCGCAUGGCAUAGCAAUUAAAGGAGUAAUCCGCUAUGAGAUGGACCCGCGUCGCAUUAGCUAGUUGGUGAGGUAACGGCUCACCAAGGNGACGAUGCGUAGCCGACCUGAGAGGGUGAUCGGCCACAUUGGGACUGAGACACGGCCCAGACUCCUACGGGAGGCAGCAGUGGGGAAUAUUGCACAAUGGGGGAAACCCUGAUGCAGCAACGCCGCGUGAGUGAUGACGGUCUUCGGAUUGUAAAGCUCUGUCUUCAGGGACGAUAAUGACGGUACCUGAGGAGGAAGCCACGGCUAACUACGUGCCAGCAGCCGCGGUAAUACGUAGGUGGCAAGCGUUGUCCGGAUUUACUGGGCGUAAAGGGAGCGUAGGUGGAUAUUUAAGUGGGAUGUGAAAUACUCGGGCUUAACCUGGGUGCUGCAUUCCAAACUGGAUAUCUAGAGUGCAGGAGAGGAAAGUAGAAUUCCUAGUGUAGCGGUGAAAUGCGUAGAGNUUAGGAAGA
rnacentral:rRNA from 1 species